AAAAGAAAUUCGGUGCAGGAUGAGUCCGCGUCUGAUUAGCUAGUUGGAGGGGUAAAAGCCCACCAAGGCAACGAUCAGUAGCCGGCCUGAGAGGGCGACCGGCCACAUUGGGACUGAGACACGGCCCAAACUCCUACGGGAGGCAGCAGUGGGGAAUAUUGCACAAUGGGGGAAACCCUGAUGCAGCGACGCCGCGUGAGCGAGGAAGUAUUUCGGUAUGUAAAGCUCUAUCAGCAGGGACGAAAAAAGACGGUACCUGACUAAGAAGCCCCGGCUAACUACGUGCCAGCAGCCGCGGUAAUACGUAGGGGGCAAGCGUUAUCCGGAUUUACUGGGUGUAAAGGGAGCGUAGACGGCAAGGCAAGCCAGAAGUGAAAGGGCAGGGCUCAACCCUGUACAUGCUUUUGGAACUGUGGUGCUAGAGUGCAGGAGAGGUAAGUGGAAUUCCUAGUGUAGCGGUGAAAUGCGUAGAUAUUAGGAGGAACACCAGUGGCGAAGGCGGCUUACUGGACUGUAACUGACGUUGAGGCUCGAAAGCGUGGGGAGCAAACAGGAUUAGAUACCCUGGUAGUCCACGCUGUAAACGAUGAGUACUAGGUGUUGGGGGCUGAAGCCUUCG
rnacentral:rRNA from 1 species